AUCCCAUAACUCUCCUUUUUAGACAAACGCUAAUUUCAAACCAUUUUCAAGUCCAUACAUAUGAAAACCCUUUAGCAACAUUCCAUUUUCCAGCACUCUUUCUUGUUGAGUGUGAAGUUGAGAAGAAGAAAAAGAAGAAGAGGAAAUAUAAGCUGAGGUUGGGAGCCAAUCCUCUGAUAGUUACAGGUGAGUGCAUAGAUUAGGAGCACGCAUAUGUGUACGUUGGGGUUUCCUUCAAAACCCUUUUGCUGGAUUUUCAUUUAGGGUUAGAAAAUUGCUAGAUUUUUCGUUUUAAGGUUAGAUAAUUGCUGGAUUUUCUGUUUUAGGGUUAGGUUUUCGCUGGCUUUUCAUUUAGGGUUAAUAGAUUGCUGGAAUUUCUGUUUUACGGUUAGAUAAUUGAUGGAUUUUCUAUUUUAGGGUUAGGUAUUGCUGAAUUUUCUUGAAAGCCCUAUAAAAGAUGAGAUUUCUGAUUUAGGGUUAGGUUCUUGCUGGAAUUUCUGAUGGAGUUGGUUAAUUUGUUGUUGGAUUUUCUUUUAAAGCCUGAAGCAGACUAGCUUUUCUGAUUUAAAUUCGUUAGGUUAUUGCUAGAUUUUCUUACGGGUAUGGCUG